GAUGAACGCUAGCGGCAGGCUUAAUACAUGCAAGUCGAGGGGCAGCAUGAUUGUAGCAAUACAAUUGAUGGCGACCGGCAAACGGGUGCGGAACACGUACACAACCUCCCAAUAAGUGGGGAAUAGCCCAGAGAAAUUUGGAUUAAUACCCCGUAACAUAACGAUGUGGCAUCACAUUGUUAUUAUAGAUUUUUCGCUUAUUGAUGGGUGUGCGGCUGAUUAGAUAGUUGGCGGGGUAACGGCCCACCAAGUCUACGAUCAGUAGCUGAUGUGAGAGCAUGAUCAGCCACACGGGCACUGAGACACGGGCCCGACUCCUACGGGAGGCAGCAGUAAGGAAUAUUGGACAAUGGACGCAAGUCUGAUCCAGCCAUGCCGCGUGAAGGAUUAAGGUCCUCUGGAUUGUAAACUUCUUUUAUAAGGGACGAAAAAAGGUCUUUCUAGAUCGUCUGACGGUACCUUAUGAAUAAGCACCGGCUAACUCCGUGCCAGCCGCCGCAGUAAAAC
rnacentral:rRNA from 1 species